CCUACGGGCGGCAGCAGUGAGGAAUAUUGGUCAAUGGCCGAGAGGCUGAACCAGCCAAGUCGCGUGAGGGAAGACUGUCCUAUGGAUUGUAAACCUCUUUUGUCAGGGAGUAAAGUCACCCACGUGUGGGUGUUGGAGAGUACCUGAAGAAAAAGCAUCGGCUAACUCCGUGCCAGCAGCCGCGGUAAUACGGAGGAUGCGAGCGUUAUCCGGCUUUAUUGGGUUUAAAGGGUGCGUAGGCGGGUUAUCAAGUCAGCGGUAAAAUCGUGGAGCUCAACGGCAUACAGCCGUUGAGACUGAUGAUCUUGAGUGGGCGUGAGGUAGGCGGAAUUCGUGGUGUAGCGGUGAAAUGCAUAGAGAUCACGAAGAACUCCGAUUGCGAAGGCAGCAUAC
rnacentral:rRNA from 1 species